UACAGAGGUCCCAAGCGUUGUUCGGAUUCACUGGGCGUAAAGGGUGCGUAGGUGGUGAGGUAAGUCGGAUGUGAAAGCUCCGAGCUCAACUCGGAAAUGGCAUUGGAAACUACCUUGCUAGAGGGUUUGAGGGGGGACUGGAAUUCUCGGUGUAGCAGUGAAAUGCGUAGAUAUCGAGAGGAACACCAGUGGCGAAGGCGAGUCCCUGGACAACACCUGACACUGAGGCACGAAAGCUAGGGGAGCAAACAGG
rnacentral:rRNA from 1 species